AAUGAACGCUGGCGGCAGGCCUAACACAUGCAAGUCGAACGGGUGCCUUCGGGCACUAGUGGCGGACGGGUGAGUAACGCGUGGGAACAUGCCCUUUGGUACGGAAUAGCCUCGGGAAACUGGGUGUAAUACCGUAUGUGCCCUUCGGGGGAAAGAUUUAUCGCCAAAGGAUUGGCCCGCGUUGGAUUAGGUAGUUGGUGGGGUAAUGGCCUACCAAGCCGACGAUCCAUAGCUGGUUUGAGAGGAUGAUCAGCCACACUGGGACUGAGACACGGCCCAGACUCCUACGGGAGGCAGCAGUGGGGAAUCUUAGACAAUGGGGGAAACCCUGAUCUAGCCAUGCCGCGUGAUCGAUGAAGGCCUUAGGGUUGUAAAGAUCUUUCAGUGGGGAAGAUAAUGACGGUACCCACAGAAGAAGCCCCGGCUAACUCCGUGCCAGCCGCCGCCGUAACAC
rnacentral:rRNA from 1 species